UCUGUUUGUGUGUCUUGAAUAAAUCAAAGAGUUGAGGACAUGAAUUAUCUUCAUCACUAACUCACACCGCGCUGAAACGGAGGAAGAUUUUGGUGUCCCCCAAAUGGCAACCUAUGGGCCCUGGUCAAAAGUAAGUAAUCAAGCAAGCCUUGGAUAAGUCUGUCUCGUCUGAGCCAGAACGGCCCAUAGCUGCUCCUGUUCAAAAGUAGUGCACUUGGGGAACAUGGUGUCAGUUGAGACGCAGCCUAUGUAUGAGACUCCAUCCUGAACACUGUUGCUUUACAGCCUCGUUUAGGAACCCUCUCCUUCUAAUCAUUUGGACAUUUCUCCAAUGCAUCGUUGGAAAACCACAACUGUGCAUACAGGAAAUUGUUUUAUUGCUGCGGCAUUAUAGUCUAGAGGUGAUUUGGAGCCACUAUAACUAUGGCUGCGUGUGUGUGUAGUGUGUGGUUUUGUGUGUCAAUGUGUUUUUGUGUGUACAUGCUGCCUACAUUAUCAGGACCAGAAUGUCCUGACAAGGUAAGAUAUAUAUUUUUUUUUCAGGACUUUUUAGCCUUAAGGGUUAGGGAAAAUUGGAUUUUGAAUGGGAAUACAUUUUUACACCCAAAAGGUCCAGAAAAUGCACGUUAAAAAAAAGCUGUGUUUUGUGUGUGUGUGCAUUAGUGAGCACAAAUAAAAAAGUUUGCCUGGUUCACCCCAGCUUAACUUGGUCAGGAUCAGUUGACCCAUUUUCCAGGGCAGAGAGACAACCCCGGCGCUGUUUUGGCUUCAGAACCCCGGCGCUAUGACGUCACAGUCCCACGUGCCACAUGAGUGGCUAAAACGGGCUUGACCUCUUUCUGAGCUAGAGAGUAAAUGGCCACGGGCCAGUCUGCUUGUGUGUGUUGUUGUGAUGUCACAAUGGGGUCAGUCGGCUUUCACAGCCAACCCAGUUCCCCUUCCUCUGUCCUGCCCUGCUCUUUGCCCGACUAGCUGACUGACUGGCUGUCAUCCCCUGAUUAAAUGCAGUGGGGACCACAGAGAUAGAACACAGAGACAGAAUAAAAUGGUUCUCUCUCUACGGCUGGGACUGUCAUUCACCAAACAGCAGCAUGCUCUUAUACAAGGUGGAAAGCUGUAAAGAUCCCUGAGACUCUUUAUAAAUCUGACACAAGUGAGGGAGAGAAACACAGAGAGAGAGAAACAGAGUGAGAGAGAAACACAGAGAGAGAGAGAAUCACAGAGAGAGAGACAGAAAUUGUGUGAGAGGAAAAGGACAAGAAAUUUGCAAGAGAGAAAGAGAAAUGAAGAAAGAGAGAGAGAGAACGAGAGAGAAAGAGAGAGACAGAUAGGAAAAUAGGGAGAGGGAUGAAGAGAGAGAGGCAGGGAGAGAAAGUAAUUUCCCUGCUGUCAGAAGGUUCAGUGCUCUGAGGAACACUGAGGCUAAUG